GGGACUGAGCCGUUUCGAGAAACGUGGGGACUGCUGUUUUUCCGCCAAUUUUGGUUGGAAAUUCUUUAGUGGAAACCAUCUUAAUCGCAGUGGCUUGAACCGGGCAAAAGUCGUAACAAGGUUUCCGUAGGUGAACCUGCGGAAGGAUCAUU
rnacentral:rRNA from 2 species